rnacentral:lncRNA from 1 species
UUGCGCCACAUUUGGAUCCAUGUCAAUUUCUCCAUGCCUAAUUAGAUUUGGGUUAUGAUUUUUGGCAUCAUGAGAGAACAUCCAAUAUAGGUGAUUGGCAAUUGCUAAUGAGUCAUAAUAUUAUCUCUUGCCUAAUUUGAAUGCGAUCUGAAUUAGAGAUAAGAUGUAGAUUGAAAAAAAGAUUUUUCAUAUAUAGUAUAUUGUUGGUACCAUAUUUUUUUUUAUUUUUUUUGAAGAAUCCUUUGGCAUGUAAGACUUUA